UACGGGGGGGGCAAGCGUUGUUCGGAAUUACUGGGCGUAAAGGGCGCGUAGGCGGCCUUCUAAGUCGGACGUGAAAUCCCUCGGCUUAACCGAGGAACUGCGUCCGAUACUGAAAGGCUUGAAUCCGGGAGAGGGAUGUGGAAUUCCAGGUGUAGCGGUGAAAUGCGUAGAUAUCUGGAGGAACACCGGUGGCGAAGGCAGCUCUCUGGGACGGUACUGACGCUGAGACGCGAAAGCGUGGGGAGCGAACAGG
rnacentral:rRNA from 1 species